AUGAAGAGGCUGCUGUGCUCUCUGCUGCUGUGCACCCAGGUUUGCUGGGUGAAAGGGCAACAAGUGAAGCAGAGUCCUGUGUCCUUGGUUCUGCAGGAGGGAGAGAGCGCAGAGCUGCAGUGCAACUUUUCCAACAAUAUAUACCAAAUGCAGUGGUUCCACCAAAGCCCUGGGGGACACCUCGUCAGUCUGUUUUCCAAUCUUUCUGGAACAAAGCAGAGUGGAAGACUGAACUCAACUACAGUCAGUAAGGAACGUCAGAGCUUUUUGCACAUUUCCUCUUCUCAGAGCACAGACUCAGGAACUUAUUUCUGUGCUGUGGAUCCACAGUGCUCCACACACACCUGCAGCCAGCACACAAAUCUUCAGUUGGAGGAGCAGUGCUACUUCAGAGCAGAUGAAGAUGUGGCUCCUCGACACACUCCUCAAUAA